rnacentral:rRNA from 1 species
UACGUAGGGGGCAAGCGUUGUCCGGAUUUAUUGGGCGUAAAGAGCGUGUAGGCGGCCAGGUAGGUCCGUUGUGAAAACUCGAGGCUCAACCUCGAGACGCCGAUGGAAACCAUCUGGCUAGAGUCCGGAAGAGGAGAGUGGAAUUCCCGGUGUAGCGGUGAAAUGCGCAGAUAUCGGGAAGAACACCCGUGGCUAAGGCGGCUCUCUAGUACGGUACUGACGCUGAGACGCGAAAGCGUGGGGAGGCGAACAGG